UAUUCUGCCCUACGGGGAAGGAUGAGAAGGUUCGACUCGAGCGUAGCGAGAGAACGUUGCCGCAGGCAACGGCCCGAAGGGCGAGGCGCUUUAGCGCCGAGUCAUCCUUCCCCCACCGCUG
rnacentral:sRNA from 1 species